GCCGAGGUGGCGAAAUUGGUAUACGCACCAGACUUAGGAUCUGGCGCCGAAAGGCAUACGAGUUCGAGUCUCGUCCUCGGCACCA
rnacentral:tRNA from 1 species